CCUACGGGAGGCAGCAGUGGGGAAUAUUGGACAAUGGGCGAAAGCCUGAUCCAGCCAUGCCGCGUGUGUGAAGAAGGCCUUCGGGUUGUAAAGCACUUUCAGUGGGGAAGAAAGCCUUGGGGCUAAUACCCUCGAGGAAGGACAUCACCCACAGAAGAAGCACCGGCUAACUCCGUGCCAGCAGCCGCGGUAAUACGGAGGGUGCGAGCGUUAAUCGGAAUUACUGGGCGUAAAGCGCGCGUAGGCGGUCUGAUAAGCCGGUUGUGAAAGCCCCGGGCUCAACCUGGGAACGGCAUCCGGAACUGUCAGGCUGGAGUGCAGGAGAGGAAGGUAGAAUUCCCGGUGUAGCGGUGAAAUGCGUAGAGAUCGGGAGGAAUACCAGUGGCGAAGGCAGCCUUCUGGACUGACACUGACGCUGAGGUGCGAAAGCGUGGGUAGCAAACAGGAUUAGAUACCCGAGUAGUC
rnacentral:rRNA from 1 species